rnacentral:rRNA from 1 species
UACGUAGGGGGCGAGCGUUAUCCGGAUUUACUGGGCGUAAAGCGCGUUAAGGCGGUUGGCAAAGUUGGUUGUGAAAUCUCAGGGCUCAACCCUGAAAUUGCGACCAAUACUGGUCGACUAGAGUGUGAGAGAGGAAGGUGGAAUUCCCGGUGUAGUAGUGAAAUGCGUAGAUAUCGGGAGGAGCACCAGUGGCGAAGGCGGCCUUCUGGCUCAUAACUGACGCUGUAGCGCGAAAGCGUGGGGAGCGAACCGG